GAUGAACGCUGGCGGCGUGCCUAAUACAUGCAAGUCGAGCGAACAGACGAGGAGCUUGCUCCUCUGACGUUAGCGGCGGACGGGUGAGUAACACGUGGAUAACCUACCUAUAAGACUGGGAUAACUUCGGGAAACCGGAGCUAAUACCGGAUAAUAUAUUGAACCGCAUGGUUCAAUAGUGAAAGACGGUUUUGCUGUCACUUAUAGAUGGAUCCGCGCCGCAUUAGCUAGUUGGUAAGGUAACGGCCUACCAAGGCAACGAUGCGUAGCCGACCUGAGAGGGUGAUCGGCCACACUGGAAGUGAGACACGGUCCAGACUCCUACGGGAGGCAGCAGUAGGGAAUCUUCCGCAAUGGGCGAAAGCCUGACGGAGCAACGCCGCGUGAGUGAUGAAGGUCUUCGGAUCGUAAAACUCUGUUAUUAGGGAAGAACAAAUGUGUAAGUAACUAUGCACGUCUUGACGGUACCUAAUCAGAAAGCCACGGCUAACUACGUG
rnacentral:rRNA from 1 species